CAGCCGCGCGUGCGCGGUGAGACUUUUCUGUUGGGGCGGGAAUGUUGGAACCCAGGGAGCGGGUGUCCGUUUCCGGGUUAGCGGUCUCGCGCUGAGUUCCUCGGUCGCCAUGGCGAGCGGCGCAGCCAAUUUAAACGCGGUGAGAGAGACGAUGGACGUUCUGCUUGAGAUUUCAAGGAUAUUAAACACUGGUUUGGAUAUGGAAACUCUGUCUAUUUGUGUGCGGUUGUGUGAGCAAGGUAUAAAUCCGGAGGCCUUAUCCUCAGUAAUUAAAGAGCUACGCAAGGCUACAGAAGCGCUAAAGGCUGCUGAAAAUAUGACAAGUUGACUUCAUGGGAGAAGAUAUCUUGAUGAGAUAAAUGUCGAGCUAGCAAAGAGUUUGAAGACUGGCUGCUAUUCAGAAAUAUAGAAUGAAGUUACUGUAGUCUGCAGACUCAAGAAGAUAACACUAUAUUGACUUACAUUUGGAAAACUAUCUUUGCAGCCUGGAGACAGAAAAACCUUUUUUUUUUUUUUUUUAAAUGGAAUCUUAGAUUCUGUUAUAAUCUGAGUAGGACAUGAGGACCACAGAAAUGCAUCAAGCAGGCCUAAUGGUUGACACACCUAUUAUAGACAAUAUGUAAAAUAUGAAUUCAUUUUAAUAGUGAUCUGCAUCGUUUUAUGUUUAUUUUGUUACCUGGUAACAUGAUCUUUUUGGUUUGCUGUUUUACAUAUAUGAAAUAAAACACUUUAGUAUCAAACCUGGGAAAUUUAACUCUAGUGAUGUAUGCUAAGUAUCAUGGUACAUUAGUGGCACCAUAGUGAAAGUUGACACAGAAAGUUCAUUUUAAUUAAUUAGUGCUUUUCUGACUUGAAUAUUUGUGGGGGGAGAAAAAUGAAAAUUUUAAAUGUGAACACGUUUGAAUUGUUUAAAGUAUUUUCGGUUCCCAAGGUAAAAUUGUACUUUCAAACACAGUUUUUCAUAUUUUUACAGUGUCUUGGGUUUUUUGUAAUGUUUUUGGUGAUGAGUGACAAGAAGAAAGUUUAAAAAUAAAAUACAAUGCACAGUUGAAUAUUGAGGGGGGAAGGGGCACAGAAAAUUAAGUUAACUAGUUUGCGGAAUUGAGGGUGUCAAAUCAGUUUACAACAGUAUAGCAAAAAUGACAAAAGAUUGAAGAGCAUGCUGAUAAUGUUGAUUUGCCCAUCUCUUCGCAUUUUCCUGUCUAGUUUCCUAACCAUAGAUCCCGGGGAGGGGCCAUCUUGGCUGAGGACAUGCUGAUUAUUGUUCCAUUUGCAAAGAGUGGGAUAUAGUGGCACUACCUAGGGGCAGCCUCACUUCCUCCAGCAGAAGCUUUAGGGAAGUGCCAACCAUUGCUGAGGUCCAUCUGUGGCUUCAUUCCCUUUGGAUACUUGCAUCAAAGGCCACAUUUAGGGCUGUCUGGGUAUGCCUUUGGUGACUAUAGUUGAGUAAAGCAGAUUUGUAGGGCGGUGGACCAUGUGCUUUUAGGUCCGUGGUUGUGAACAGAACUUUACUCUACAUUUUCUGCUUUUUGAGAGUUUGGCAUUAUUGUCCCUGAGAGACCCUAAGCAGUUUUCAAAAUGUUUGUUUGAAGAUACUAUUAUACAAUAGAUGUUCAAAAUGUCAAUAUGAGCAGUGCAUUUUUAAUUUUACAUCUACAAAUGCUUUUCUCUGUUAUAAGCAGAGUUGAACAAUAAUAUUAAUUAUACUUAGUGUUUUACAUUUCCAAAGCACUUUGUAGGCAUUAAGGACCAUAUUUAUGAGGUAGCACUCACUCCAGUUAUUCAGACUAGGAUCUUCCCUAUGCUGCUGGGAGCUCCCCACCAAAGGGAGCUCCUAGCUCCGGCUGGGCAGGGGAGGGAGAGGACUUGUCCCUCCCCUGCACAGCUGCUCUGGGGUGGGGAGACACCAGCUCCACCUCUGGGUGCCUCCCUCUGCUGCAGGACACUCUGGGACUGGGAAGCAGCCCCAGAAGUUCCUGCAGCUGGAGGAGUUCUUGUGGAAUUGUGUCAAAUCUUUCCUGUGCUGCUGGGAGCGCCCCAACAAAUAGGGCUCCUAGCUCUCGCUGGGCAGGGGAGGGACAGUCCAGCUCUGAAGGGAGCACAGAAGUGAGGGUGACAAUCCCCUGACCCCCUCCCCCCCACAGGUUUGCCACCUUUCCCCGCACCAUCCCUUUUUGGGUCGCGACCCCCACGGUUACAACACUGAAAUUUCAGAUUUAAACAUUUUCAAAUCCUAUGGUUUUGAAAUUGGCCAUAAUGGACUGUGUAUUUGGUAGGGCCCUAUUCAUAACAUUGUUCCCUGUAGGUCCCUGACUGCAUUUCAGCAAGGGGAGAAUCAACCAUUGCAGAAUACACCAUGUAGCCCCCAUAUACAUUCAUUCUCCUCAGUGCUCUCUGUUUGAUGGACCUAUACCAACUCCACUGUCAGGAAACCAGGGUAGAUAAAAAUCAUGAUUUUUUUUAAAAAACCAAAAUAUCACAAUUUUAAUUUUAAAAUAAAUAGUUUUUAAUUUAUACAUUGUUAGUUUAGUAUUUCUCAUUUUAGUCUUAGCUUGCUAAAGUCAAUGUUUUGUAUUUGUUUCUUUAGUUUUCUAAUUAUUAGUAGAAUUUCAGAUUUUAGAUAGAGAUUUUUUUCUAUGGAGCAAUUUCACAGUUGAGGUCCUCAUGUGUGUUGGGGGGGGGAGUCCAUGGCCUCACUAGCAUCGCAGCAUAAAUCCAAUAUAUUGAACUCUCACAGGUCCAGAAGAAGCGUUUCAAGGAGGCUUCUCUAUCUGUGAUUCUAAACUACCUUGGUGCUUUUGAAAAUUCAAACGUUAACUCCCCAAAUAUAUGUUCAAGAGUUUAGGCUCCUAUUUUUGAUAUGUUGGUCAAUGUGUGUAAUAAAAUUCAGAAUAACCUGGUUAAUGUUUUAAAAGUCUAAACAACUUUUAUUGUUAGCACCAAAUCAAUUUUGUUUCAAGUGAAUACAAUUUUAUGCCACUAGAGAAAAGCUUUUAAUAAAAAUACAAUUUUAGCCUC